CCGACAAGCGGAGGAGCAUGUGGUUUAAUUCGUAUGAUACGCGAGGAACCUUACCUGGGCUCGAACGUAAGAUGACUGUAGGUGAAAGCUUACAUCUCUUCGGAGCAUUUUACGAGGUGCUGCAUGGUUGUCGUCAGCUCGUGCCGUGAGGUGUCGGGUUAAGUCCCAUAACGAGCGCAACCCCUACCUUUAGUUGCCAUCAGGUUAAGCUGGGGACUCUAAAGGAACUGCCUACGCAAGUAGUGAGGAAGGCGGGGAUGACGUCAAAUCAGCACGGCCCUUACGUCCAGGGCUACACACGUGCUACAAUGGCCGAUACAGAGGGCAGCUACCUGGCGACAGGAUGCAAAUCUCCAAAGUCGGUCUCAGUUCGGAUCGGAGUCUGCGACCCGACUCCGUGAAGUUGGAUUCGCUAGUAAUCGCGCAUCAGCCAUGGCGCGGUGAAUACGUUCCCGGGCCUU
rnacentral:rRNA from 1 species